rnacentral:rRNA from 1 species
AUUGAACGCUGGCGGCAGGCCUAACACAUGCAAGUCGAACGAGUGGCGGACGGGUGAGUAAUGUCUGGGAAACUGCCCGAUGGAGGGGGAUAACUACUGGAACCGGUAGCUAAUACCGCAUACCAUCGGAUGUGCCCAGAUGGGAUUAGCUAGUAGGUGGGGUAACGGCUCACCUAGGCGACGAUCCCUAGCUGGUCUGAGAGGAUGACCAGCCACACUGGAACAGAGAGACGGUCCAGACUCCUACGGGAGGCAGCAGUGGGGAAGUUGGGACAAUGGGCGAAAGCCGGAUGCAGCCAUGCAGCGUGGAUGAAGAAGGCCUUCGGGUUGUAAAGUACUUUCAGCGGGGCGGCGGUACCCGCAGAAGAAGCACCGGCUAACUCCGUGCCAGCAGCCGCGGUAAUUC